ACUGACAAGGUACACCUAAUAAUGGGGCCAGUGAGUUUAUAUGCUUCAGUUUCUUGUCUGAUGGGUGUGCCACCUGGAGGGCACAAAGAGAUAUUACAGAAACAAAAAUCCCAUUCUGUUUUUGGGUCGCAAACGGAAAGGGUUUAGAAAUUCAAGUUACAGUCCUGAGACUGACGAUGGCAGCCCACUUGUUUGCAGGGUUCAGUCCUCUGUGGGCUGACUGCUGACUUCACUUCUGCACGAAGAACCAUUUCAGAAAUGUGCUGCUUCCCAAAUUCAGCACCAGCUCGUGGAUCCAAUGAAUUGCAGUACAGUGGUCAUGUUCGCUGCUGAUUUUGAGAGUCUCUUCCUGCACCCCCGCUUCCUCCUACAGACAAAAGCUAAAACAGGUUGUCCCCCGGGCACGCUCGCUCGUCACUGUCACGCUGCCACAACUACAUCCCCCGAAACGGGCGCAGCGAGGAGAAUCAAAGGGGAGCUAAAUAAAAUCUAAAUUCAUCAUUGUG